GUUCUGUGCGGCAUUCUGGGAAAGCUCCCGGAAGGGCGGGUGGCUGGCCUCGCGUGGGCCACCCGCUGUCCAUCGUGAAAGGGGACGCGAGGCCAGGAAGCUGCGCUGUGAGCACAGGGCACGCCUCACCGAGGGCGCCGAGAGAGGUGGAGGAGGAGGCCGGGCCCGCGGGCGUCUUGGAGCUGCUGGGCCUGCACCGGCCCGCCGGACACCUCGGUGGGUGAGAAGAAUAAACCCGACGCCCUUCCUGGAUUUUCCACGAUGCCGGGGGACAUGGAGCCAGACUAUUUUGAAGAGGAAGGUGACCUGUAAAGGCCAUGUCCUCUUUCUCAAUUUAAAUGACGUAAGUUUAAGCAUCCAAGUAUGUAUGUGGUGAUGUGAGUUCUCGCAGGUCCAACUCUUUCCUCCUGUAAUGCCUUCUCCAGAUGGGACUGGAACUGGGUGUAGUUAUGUCAGUAGCUUGCUGUGUUCACAUGGGCGGACAGGCGAGAGUGCACAUGCAUUUCUUUGGAGUGAAAUUGACAGCCACUUUGGAUGAGCAAUUGUGGCUUUUAAGUGUGUGUGUUUUGGUCAGGGAGGGAGGGCGAUUCUAAAAAGCAAAGACCGCUCCAGGGCAAAUCAGCUUCCAGCUUUCCAAAGGCAAGGGCUUUCGGCUUGUUGACUUCUUCUCUGUGAAUGUUUCUGGCAGAGAAUUCGGAGGUGAGGUUAGAAGUCACCCCAGUGGAUAGAUGGGGAGUCACAUCUGAGCAGAGCCAGGGUGAGGCUGGACUCUUGAAGUGGGUGUUGGGCUCUGUCACAGCUGGCUGGGUGAUCUGGAACCUAUUGCUUCUGCUCUCUGGCCUCAGUUUCCCCAAUGUGUAAAAUAGAAACAUGGGAUCUAUUGGUAUCUAAGGCUCCUUCUGAGUCAAAAGUGAUAAUAAGUUGUGAUGAGGCCUAGACUGAGGAUGGUAAAUGAGCACAGAGUGGAGAGGAGGCGGGAGGGAUGCCUUGAUGACGUGCCAUUGUCUGAAGUCUUGUCUUUACCACUUCAGUCCAGGACCAACUUCCAACCACCAGCCCCGUGUCUUUUUGCCUGGGGGGCUUUCUCUGGUCCCCGAAUCCCACUCUGACGCCCUGUGUGAAGAACUUACCUGUGUGGGCGCUAAUACGCCUGCCCUAGGAAAAGCAGGAGAUGAAAAUAAACAGCCAGGUCUCGGCAUUCUGGUGGACAGCUCUGUGACACGUGUGCUUCACGCCGCCUCCUGGUUUCCAUGUGGUCACUCUCAAGUCGCCCGCAGUGGUAACUGAGUUGAUGACCUUUACUGGAUGUCUUCCGCUCCCCAUCUCACCUCCCCACUGCCCUCAAGUGUCUCCUCCUCCUCCCAACUUAAUCGCAGGUGUUGAGUCUGUCAGUUCUGCCACCAGGGACCUGAAAAGGAAGACGAUAGCUGAGAAGGAGAGAAGGGCACUGGGGCAUUCUGGGGUGUCGUCCCACGGGGGCAUUCAUUUAUUGGGAGCUCUUUGAGCUGUACACUUAUAGUGUGUGUACUUUCCUCUAGGUAUGUUUUACAUUGUACCAUAAUAAAAAGUUGGUGUAUAUAAAGAAUAGGGCACAUUUUACCGAGAUACCAGAAUAUGCUGGAGGGAUGGGAGUGGCAGGAAUCACACUGGACACAACACACAGAGUACACAUACAAAGAAGUUAAUUUUGUCAAAUGAUGUGUGAAUGAGUGAACUAGAAAAUACAUAUAUUGUUGGGUAAAUGAAUGAACCAGAGGAUAAUAAAGAAAUGCGUGAAUGAGGCAAUGACAGGAUGAGCACAUUUGAGAAUGAGCGAGUGAAGGAACCAGUGAAAGAAGUUGUCCCCGGUGACGAGUGAGGAGCUAAGUGCCCACAUGGACAAUGGAGGGAGGAGUGAAUGGAUGAAAGGACCACAAUUCCAGGAAGUAGGAGCGAAUGGACCGAGGAGUGAGGCCUGGAAUAAACUUGACACGUGAAUGAAUAUGUGAAGGCAUGGAUGAAAGAAAGAAUAAAUGAAGGAAAAUACUGAAGACAUGAAUGAACGAAUGAGUAGAUAUAAAAGUGUAAGGAGCAAUGAGCAAAUGAACAAUUAUAUAAAUGCGGAAGUGGAUAUAUGGUUCCAUGUGUUCUCGCUGGAUCUUAGGGGGAGUAAUUUGCAGAGCAGAAAAUGCCCAACUCAGAGGCAAGUGUCUCCCCUCACAUCCCCGGGGCCAAGGUCUUGGCAAAUCACCACGGCCCGCCCAGAGCAGGUUCCUGAGGUGAUUCAGUUUGGAUUUAAUAAGAACAUUGUUAAGCAAAUAUCAAGGAUGCCACGGAGUGGCCACUCCCUUGGAUCGAUUCUGGGUUCAGUGGAAAGAACUAAAUAAUAACUGACUACAAUUAUGCACCACAUAACCAUGCUCAGUCAACCACAGACGGCGUAUACGACAGUGGCCCCACGAGGUUAGUGCCACACAGCCCAGGUGUGCAGGAGGCUCUAGGGUCUAGGUUUGUGUAAGUACACUCUAUGAUGUUCCCACAGCGACGAAAUCACCUAGUGACACAUUUCUCAGAACAAGUAUCCAUCGUUCAGCGAUGCAUGACUGUAUAUCGUUUUCACGAUUAGGUCGCAGAUAAUUACCUAUUAUGUAGCCAACUCCCAGCAAGAUUUUAAUAUUCAAUAUUUAAAUAACACAUUUUCACUGUCUCCUUCAAAUUAGCCUCCGGGAAGUGUAAUUAAUGUCAGCUGGGAAGGUUGGCUGUGUGGCCUGGGAAUGAGGAAGGGGGUCGGCGCUGUCGCUGUGAUCGUCCUAUGAGACCCCGAGGCCGGGUGGUGCUGUGCACAGAGCUCAGGUUUGGGAAAACCUCGGUCCAGGACGUCGGGCAGGUCAGUCCCCAUCUGGGCCUCCAUCACCUCCUCUAUGAAAUGAAGAUGAUUCUCCUAAUUCCCCGACUCCCAGGGUUAUCGGGGCGCUCAGUGUAGACCCAGGUCAGGGUCAGGGUCAGUCCACCAGUCCCCCGCUGUGCCCCACAGUGCAGGCACAUCCCUCAUCCCGGGGUAAGCAGGUCUUCUCUUGAUGCAUAUUUCUGCCCCACAGACUGAGGGCCGGGACCGAUCUUGUCCUCAGCGCGUGUUCAGCACCCAGGGCAGUGUCUGCACACAGUAGGCACUCGGUGAACGUUGGUGGAGGAAACGAAGGGAUCUCGUGUAGUGUGGGUUUUAGAAGCUGCCUAAGGUCCCUUUCAGAACAACGAGGUUUGAUAGGCAGAUGGCCACUUACCAGGGUCCUCAUGGAGCUUGUCAGGGUUGCCCACCUCUGAUGCUCUUCCAGCUGUCACUUGUUCCCUUAAGUCCAUCGGUGUCUGCCUGUCUCGGCCCCUCCCCCUUCCUGUGCGCCACCGCCAAUAUCUGGGGGCCUGAAAAGAAUGCAGACAAGCUGGUCGGAUUGUGCGUGAAGGAAGCAUCCACGGGCUCUGAUGAGGGGCCCAGGGGCUCUGCUCUGAGUGACAGUGCCCGCGGGAAUGACGUGUCCCCGGGUCUCCACAUGGACCUGACCUGGCUCAGCCUUGAUGAGAGAUCAGCACAUGGGUCUGAUGCCCACAGGGACAAGAGGGGCAGAGACCUCCUGAGUCCUGUGAGUGCCUGGAGGAGGCGGUGAGGGAGAUGCCGGGUCCCUGACAAAGGACUCUAUGCUGCCCCUGCCAUCUGUCGUGUAGAUUGAAUACCUGUGAUUCUGGAAUUUCUUCCUCUUCCAGGAGUCUGCUUUCCUAAAUAGUCCAGCUUCACUCAAACUGUCUUCCCUUCUCUGAGGCACUGGGAACCACACCUGAUGAGGUCCCACCUUUGAGUGUGAAGGACAGUCCAUGGUCCCCUUGUCUGUGUCAGACCCUCCUGACUGUCUGGGUGAUGGCCAACCCCCUCCCCCUGUCAGCCCCGAGAGGAUUGGCCGUGGUGGGGGCAGGAGAGGAGAGAGUAUCAUCCUAAGGGGCCUGCAGUGCAGGGAGAGGAGCGGACUCUGGCCAUGAGGAGCCACGAGCUGGUGCAGGGAGCACAGCAGCCGGGUCUGCACAGCCCAGCUCGGCACGCCCUCGUGUAGGGGUCAGGAGCCCCGAGGGGACCCCUGGUGGGCCCAGGGAAUCACGUGGCCACCAGUUACCUUGAGCUCUAUCACAUACAGGACCCUCCACCAGUUCAGGACCUGCCUGUCCCCAUCUCAGCCAAUGGUGCUGGGCAGAGACCAGGUGACUGUCCCGGCCAGUCACCUACAUGGGCUCUGCCCCCCGCAGCGGGCCCAGCCUCACAGGGCAGCCCAGCAGGUACCCUGGGAACCAGAUCCAAGAUCCCUGCUCACCUUCCCAAGAUGGCCAAGGCCAUCUCCAGGCCACCUCUGGUGGGGACGCCACAGACAGCCAGGCCCCUCUUAUAUUUGCUACAUUCUUCAAGUGUCCUUGAUCAUCGCACAUUGCCCUUAGAGACAGAGGAAGAAAUUAUAAAAAUUAAAGAAGAAAUAGGCAGCAGUGGCUCCUAGGAAAUGAAAUCGUUUCCUUCUACACAGUUAAACACGAGCGUUUGAAAUGUCCUUGUCACACCUUGCACUGGCUCUGUCAGGGUGGAUUAUUGGAUUAUAAAAGGACUGGAGGUUUCUGGGCAUUCAAGGAGCAAAGAACCAGCUUCCGAGUCAGACAGACCUGGACCGUCUCAGCUCAGCCACGUCCUUGUGUGGGUGUCGCUUCAGCUUCCAGACCCUCAUCUGCUCACUUUUAAAGUGGGAGGUGACCCUCUCUCACAGGUAAAAGUGAAAGAAUGGGGGUGAGACAGCUCCGCACCUGGGACACUGCAAACAUCCAAAAUGAGGUUGCUGCCGUAUCAUCUAGGUGAGGAGUGAUGACAGAACAGUGGGUGUCUUAGGAGACACUUCCUGCCCCUUCGUCCCUCUGGAAAUUUCCUUGCUGGGCCGCUUGAGCCUCUUUGAUCAUCUCUUGUUCUUCUGAUAAAAUAAAGCUUGACUGCAGAAAGCUUUGUCAUCAAAGCUUCGUCGUCACUGUCACGUCCACAGACUCCACCUCUUACACGAGCUGCCCGGGAGCAAAGAGGCGAACGGCAGCCGCUCCCCCUGCCUGCGUCGCCGUGCACUGAGGACGGGAUGGGGAGUCUCACCGAGUCCCCAGGUCAACUGCAGGGGUCGCCAUCCUCCCACUGUGCAGGUGAGAAGCCUGAGGCUCAGAGCAGUGACGUCACAUCCACAACACAACAACAGAUGUUACUGCACCUGCCGUGAGACCCAGCGGGGAACAAGUCCCCGCGCCCGUGGGGCUGGCACAGAGGAUAAGGGAUGAAGACGUGACACUUGUGAAGGAGAAAAACAGAGCUGGCAGUCAGGUGGCCCCUUUGUCCCCACGGAAGGCUUGCCUGUGUCCUGCCGCCACAAGGCUUCUCAGAGCUGCUUUCUGCUGGGGAGGCCCUGGGCGUGGGAAGGGUGCCAGGGUUCACGUGCUUCGUCUCUGCCCAGCCUCACGACCGCCCUGUGUGCCCACAAUGCACAGACGAAGAAACUGAGGCUCAGAGAGGUGACAUCACCUGCUCAAAGUCAUGGAGUCAGUAAGUGGUCAGGGUGGCUUCAGGGUCAGAGGACUCGAGUUUGUGUCCAGGCUCGGCCAUUCAAGGGCUGUGUGACCUCAGCAAGCCUCUCACCGCUAAGCCUGUUUCCUCAUCAGCAACAUGACGAUGACAGCAGGACCUGCGUCAUGGGGCUGUUGUGAUGGGAAAUGAGCUGGUGCUCGGGAUGCAGAGGACAGUGCCUGGCACAGAGCGACGGUGAUGAUGAUGAUGAUAGUGACGCCCUCUCCGAUGGUGCUGACUCCGUUUACCCUUCAGGGCGGCCCUCAAAUGGAACGUGGUGUGACCUUUAACGAAGCCAGCUGGCGUCUCCAGCGGGCAGAUAAGAAAACUGAGACUCAAAGGCGGGGAGUCGUUCGCUAAAGCCACAAGAUGCUGAAAGCAGAGCCGAUUCUUUCAUCUUAUUGUGCUUUCCAUCCAUCCUGGUUUUCCCCUUUGCUUCUUUCUUCACUUUCCUUUUGACUCAUUUUCUUCUGUCCAUUACAUUGAUCAAAUAUUCUUCAUUACCUUUCUGCUUCCGUUGGUUUCAAAAGUCUGCAUCCCAUUUCUGUCCGUUUAUUAGUUACCUUAAAAAUGGAGGAAGUGUGCUUAUUUGGACUAACACAGCUUAAAGCUCGUCAGCCUCUCUGCCCUCCCUGUGAAUGGCACCAGGACUCCAAACGCCUUGACUCCAGUCUCCCAUCUUCAUGUCGGCUUCAGCUAGUGUUACGAUUCUGUCUCCUUUUUCCACCUCUCCCAACUUAGUUCUCACUAUUACUGUUGUUGGUUUCCCUCUUGUUUCUUGUAGACAACGAGUAGAUUUACCCCAUGUUCAUGGAUAAUUCUGCAUGCUUUUCCUACUUUCAUGCUAUUCCUUCCUUG
rnacentral:lncRNA from 1 species